AGAUGUGAGGGCGAUCUGGCUGCGACAUCUGUCACCCCAUUGAUUGCCAGGGUUGAUUCGGCUGAUCUGGCUGGCUAGGCUGGUGUCCCCUUCCUCCCUCAGCGCUCCAUGUGCGUCCCUCCGGAAGCUGCGCGCUCGGUGGAAGAGGACGGCCUUCCCCGAAUAGAGACAGACCGGUCUUCGGUCGAGGGUAUACGAGUAGCUGCGCUCCCCUGCUAGAACCUCCAAACAAGCUCUCAAGGUCCAAAGAUCCCAGGUUCAAUCCCAGCACCACGACAAUAAACCAGUAUAUAUAUAUAUUAU
rnacentral:snRNA from 1 species